GACGAACGCUGGCGGCGUGCCUAAUACAUGCAAGUAGAACGCACAGUUUAUACCGUAGCUUGCUACACCAUAGACUGUGAGUUGCGAACGGGUGAGUAACGCGUAGGUAACCUGCCUGGUAGCGGGGGAUAACUAUUGGAAACGAUAGCUAAUACCGCAUAAUAUUGAUUAUUGCAUGAUAAUUGAUUGAAAGAUGCUAUUGCAUCACUACCAGAUGGACCUGCGUUGUAUUAGCUAGUAGGUGAGGUAACGGCUCACCUAGGCGACGAUACAUAGCCGACCUGAGAGGGUGAUCGGCCACACUGGGACUGAGACACGGCCCAGACUCCUACGGGAGGCAGCAGUAGGGAAUCUUCGGCAAUGGACGAAAGUCCGACCGAGCAACGCCGCGGGAGGGAAGAAGGUUUUCGGAUCGGAAAGCUCUGUUGUAAGAGAAGAACGGGUGUGAGAGUGGAAAGUUCACACUGUGACGGUAUCUUACCAGAAAGGGACGGCUAACUACGUG
rnacentral:rRNA from 1 species